GACAGAGGUCCCGAGCGUUAGGCGGAAUCACUGGGCUUAAAGCGUGUGUAGGCGGAUGCCUAAGUACCUUGUGAAAUCCCACGGCUCACCCGUGGAACUGCUUGGUAUACUGGGUGUCUUGAGCCACUUAGGGGCUACCGGAACAAAUGGUGGAGCGGUGAAAUGCGUAGAUAUCAUUUGGAACGCCAAUGGUGAAAACAGGUAGCUGGGAGUGUGCUGACGCUGAGACACGAAAGCCAGGGGAGCAAGCGGG
rnacentral:rRNA from 1 species